GGAAUUGUUCGCAAUGGGCGCAAGCCUGACGACGCAACGCCGCGUGGAGGAUGAAGGUCUUCGGAUUGUAAACUCCUGUUGUUCGGGACGAACAUCUUCCGGGAUAACACCCUGGAGGACUGACGGUACCGGUUGAGGAAGCCACGGCUAACUACGUGCCAGCAGCCGCGGUAAUACGUAGGUGGCAAGCGUUGUCCGGAUUUAUUGGGUUUAAAGGGUGCGUAGGCGGCCCUGUAAGUCAGUGCUGAAAUAUCCCAGCUUAACUGGGAGGGUGGCAUUGAUACUGCGGGGCUAGAGUACAGAUGAGGUAGGCGGAAUUGACGGUGUAGCGGUGAAAUGCUUAGAUAUCGUCAAGAACACCUAUAGCGAAGGCAGCUUACUAGGCUGUAACUGACGCUGAGGCACGAAAGUGUGGGGAUCAAAC
rnacentral:rRNA from 1 species